ACCGAACUCGGGGUCUCUCCCUAGGAUCAGAUACCUAGCUGGAGGGAACCAGGUUCGAACUCGAAAUAAAGCGAUCCCUGCCGUUUGGCUUUGUCUCUGGACUCUGGUGGUUGCUUUUGGGUCAUCGCAGGUCUGGGCAUUGCACCUUCCCUCAUAUUUGCAGAUAUCACCAAAAAGGUACCUCAUGUGUGGAGAGUGGCAUGGGUUCAUAUGUGACAGAUGAACAUGUAUCUUAUUUAAUGAUACAUAUUACAGAGAAAGUUGGGGACAUAAAAGGAAAUAAACAUUAUUUACUAAUAGUGGGAGGUGAAAACAAAACUCAUCAACGUGGUAAGUGAUAAAAUUUAUGAUUAGAGAUUUUUCUCCUCAACUUUACUGUUUUCCAUUCUAUUUCUAUAUCUUCUUAAAGCUAUGGUGGGCACUAAGGCAUAAGGAACACAUAAUGGCAAAUUUUGUUUUAUAAAAUAUUAAUACUCCUUUCGUUCUCAAAAUUUUUCUUGUUUCUCAUACAAUAAUAUACAAUACAAAAUAAAACUUAUACAAAUGUCUUAAAAUUUAAAAAAAAUUCUCUGUGAACAUCACUUUACAUCUCUCUCUACUUGUUGUAUGUUUCCCUAUAGUGAUGGUCGUUUAGAAAAAAUAGGAUACGGAAAUGCAGGGAGAGUAAUCUGCUCAACUCACCAGGUAUCUGGAUCCAGCUGAUGGGCCCUGAGACACCAGGCUCUGCCUCAGUAAAUAGCCUGCCUCAGGCCUGGCUAUUUACUCAUACAAACCUUAUCAUAUUUUAUGUGAGCCAUGACAUAAAAAGAAUAUUGAAAGAACGGGUCUGUGGUAUUGCCUGAUAAGUCAGAUUGCAGGGAAAUACAGUGCAUUCAUCGUCUGUUGCUUUGUAACAAAUUACCCCAAAAGUCAGCAGCUUAAACAACAUUUAUUACCUCAAAAUUUCCGUGAGUUAGGAAUCUAGGAGCAGCUUAUUUGGGUGGUUUCUGGCUUGAGGUUUCCCAUGAGGUUACUGUCAAGGUUGUCCUUCCAGGCCGCAGUCAUCUCAAAGACUGGAGGAUCUACUUCCAAGCUCAGUCAUGUGGCUUUUGUAAGGAAGCUUCUAUUUUUCACCAUGCAGACUUGUCCAUAGGGCCAUUUUCAUGAUAUUACAGCUGACUUCCUCCCAAACAAGUGAUCUGAGAGAGAGAAAAAGAGAGAGAAGGAGGAGGACGAGUAGAAGGAGGAGGUAACAGACAGCUCGAGAUGAAAGCCACAGUAUUUUAUAAUCUAAUGACAUAUAUGUCAUAUAAUCUAAUAACAUUAUAUAUGUGUAUAUAUGUAUAUGUAUGUGUGUAUAUAUAUAUGUAACCACUUGUAUUUUAUGGUAUUAGCCACCACUCUGGUACCAUAAGAGAGGUUACUUCACUUGGGUGUGAAUCCCAGGAAGCCUGUGUCAUUGGUAGCCAUCGUGAACACCGGCUACCACAUAAAAUGUGUGUCUUUUUAAAUGAAUUAGAUAUUGCUAAAUUACUCUUCAAAGUGGUUACAACAUUUUGCACUUUUAUCACUGAAGGAUAAAUAUUUUCAUCUCCUCAAAAGCUCAACAGCACUUGGUAUUAUGAAACUUAAACAAAAAAAUCAAACUCUGUUUUAAUUCGCAUCUAUUUCGUUAUGAUGGAUGUUGAGUGCUUUUCGUUAACCAACCACUUGGGUUUUCCCUUCUGUAAAUUAUCUUUUGCUAUUCUUUAAUAAUUCUCCUAAGCUGGAUGUGUGUUUCUUGUUGAUUUGUUACAGUAAUUUAUAUAUUCUGGGUAUUAAUUCUUGUUGGCUGUAUGCAUUGCGAAUGUCCUCAAUUGAGACAUUUUCCUUUUACCUUUGUUUUUUAUCUCAGUUGGUAUAUGAGACUUACAUUUAAUACAAAUUAAUCCUUUAAAUUUUGAAGAUCUGUGUUUGUUUUUGUAAUUUGUGUGUGUAUUUUCUUCCAACUUUGUUUUAAGUUUUGCUUUUGACAUUUAGAUUUUUAAGAUAUUUAUAAUGAACUUAAAGGGAGG
rnacentral:lncRNA from 1 species